AUUCCAUGUUGCGGACAUUUUCUCAACAUUUCCUUGUACAUUUCCCAUGUAUCGUACAAGGACUCAGACUCUAAUUGCCAAAAAGGAAGAGAUAUCACUUCUAAGUUU